rnacentral:rRNA from 1 species
CAGAGAGCUUGCUCUCGGGUGACGAGUGGCGGACGGGUGAGUAAUGUCUGGGGAUCUGCCCGAUAGAGGGGGAUAACCACUGGAAAUGGUGGCUAAUACCGCAUAACGUCGCAAGACCAAAGAGGGGGACCUUCGGGCCUCUCACUAUCGGAUGAACCCAGAUGGGAUUAGCUAGUAGGCGGGGUAAUGGCCCACCUAGGCGACGAUCCCUAGCUGGUCUGAGAGGAUGACCAGCCACACUGGAACUGAGACACGGUCCAGACUCCUACGGGAGGCAGCAGUGGGGAAUAUUGCACAAUGGGCGCAAGCCUGAUGCAGCCAUGCCGCGUGUAUGAAGAAGGCCUUCGGGUUGUAAAGUACUUUCAGCGGGGAGGAAGGCGACGGGG